GUGCCAGCCGCCGCGGUAAUACGUAGGUGGCAAGCGUUAUCCGGAAUUAUUGGGCGUAAAGCGCGCGUAGGCGGUUUUUUAAGUCUGAUGUGAAAGCCCACGGCUCAACCGUGGAGGGUCAUUGGAAACUGGAAAACUUGAGUGCAGAAGAGGAAAGUGGAAUUCCAUGUGUAGCGGUGAAAUGCGCAGAGAUAUGGAGGAACACCAGUGGCGAAGGCGACUUUCUGGUCUGUAACUGACGCUGAUGUGCGAAAGCGUGGGGAUCAAACA
rnacentral:rRNA from 1 species